rnacentral:rRNA from 1 species
CCGGGUGAGUAACACGUGACUAACCUACCCUAGAGUGGGGGAUAACCUCGGGAAACCGAGGCUAAUACCGCAUAAAAUCGAAAGAUCAAAGGAGUAAUCCGCUUUUGGAGGGGGUCGCGGCUGAUUAGCUAGUUGGUAGGGUAAUGGUCUACCAAGGCGAAGAUCGGUAUCCGGCCUGAGAGGGCGCACGGACACACUGGAACUGAAACACGGUCCAGACUCCUACGGGAGGCAGCAGUGGGGAAUUUUGCGCAAUGGGGGAAACCCUGACGCAGCAACGCCGCGUGGAGGAUGAAGCCCCUUGGGGUGUAAACUCCUUUCGACCGGGAAAAUAAUGAUGGUACCGGUGGAAGAAGCACCGGCUAACUCUGUGCCAGCAGCCGCGG